rnacentral:rRNA from 1 species
UGGUCGGGGGAAAGAGGAAGGGGAGCUAGGGGUGCUCGACGACACGGGGAGGGAGAGGGAAGGCACGCACGCGAGCCGGUUCCUGUGGCAGCAGCGGGAGCCAACGAGGAGGUACUGGAGCGGAGAAAGAGGAGGAGCGGAUGGGUAGCAGGCGCGCGUCCAACGGCGGCAGCCUCUUAUCCUGUCACAGCCCAAUGAAGGAGGAAAGGAGGGCGGCCUAGAUUUCACACGCCAACACCUCCUCUCGGAGAGGACAUCCUCUCCAUUCUACCCUCUCUCCCCCUCUUCCUUCCUCUCCUCCCUCCGGGUCGCCACUUGCUCUCUCCCAGUAGCCGACCGCGGACGGUCCAGUCCACAAUGGACCACCAACCACCGUCGAGCUAGGACCCAGGAAAAAGAAGGUGGAGGGGUGACGGAUUGUGGCUCGUGGCCAGUCCCUCGUACCCUAGCUGUUGCUGCCGGCCUUGGGUUCUCCCUCCUACUCCCCUAACUUCUCCCACAAGAACACAAGUAGCGGACUUGUUCCUUCUCCUGCUGCUGCGCCCCACCUUGUACAGUAGGGAGACCAAUACCGGAAGGAAAGACGACGACCCACUCGAAGAAGAGGGAAGGGCAGUUACUCUCCAUCAAUGUCAUCAACUAUACAGCGGAACGAGGCUCCGACUCUACUCCCAAAAGUGACUAACACCACCGGACUCCGCCUCUAGCUGUCGGUCUACGAACACCGACGGUAUGUUUUGUACGAGAGAACGACUGGAGCUCCAGGUCGGCGUUACCUGGUAGAGGUUCACACCUAGUAACCUCGAUAGUACUUCUAUAUUCGUUCGACGACCAAAGUCGUUGAACCGUAAAAACAUGACUAAUCACUUGAUCGUUCGAACGAGCUCCUUUUGAACGUUCGGGCUACACGUGACUACCGCGACGGUCGUUGUAGUUCCUACCUUAGUCGUUCUGUGAGAAAAUCCAGUCUCUUUAACCGCCAGGUUACUAAUUCGGACUUAGAAGUACCGAAGAUGUCGGUGGUUGUACCACAUCGAGUCGGUCUGGUGUUGAUAGCUAUCCACUGGUAGAAGUAACUCCAUGUCUUUUGUUAGGUACGUAACGGUACGAAUAGAAGAGACUUGGAAAUGUAGUAAGUUAGGGUGAGUAACUGUUCUGAAUCUAUAGUACUCCCACUACUACCUCCUAUCGUUACAGAGGUAGUCGACGAUGGUAUCUUCCACCUCUGUUCACCGCUCACUGUCAUAACGUCCGAACGUCGAUAGUUACUUCUAGCACCAACAAACGGGGGGGAUGUUUCUAAUUCCAGGGAACCUCCGAUGUUUACUAUCCCGGAAGUAGUGAGUACGACUACAAGCUCUUCUUAGACCCGGACUGUGCCGUCGACUUGUACACGAUCCAAACGAAUGGACGGAAACUUGAGAGACUUACAGUUUUCGUGAUUUCACCCAUGAAGGAUUACCUUUAUAAGAGAAGAAACGACCACUCCCAUCCAAGAUAGAGUAGUCAAGAACGAAGAACUACAAAGUAACAUAAGUCAAUACUAUAUAAAAAGUUGAUAUGUUCGUGAACCCCUUCAGUCCUUUUGACUUGGUUUCUGUUUGUGAAAAUGACCGCUACAAGCCCGAAAAAAAUUGACUCUACACUUUCUACGUAGAAUAGGGGAUUCUUUAUAACGGAAAAUAAAGAACUAAAAAGGGACUGGACGAUUAAAUCUCGAUCUAUAAGUACUAAGUAGUAUGUGUAAUGUUAUUUAAUAGGUAACCUUAGAAAACAGGUAUCUCCACUAAAACAAACCUGGUAAACAGAUCCAUCACUGUAAAACUAGCUAUUCCGUGUUCAAAUAAAAGAAAAAGUGAGUACCGAUGUGAUUUGAUUCGUAGUGGCAGUUACUUUUCUUCCGUAUGUUUAGUACUUCAAAAACGGAACCAAAACACGGAGUAAAUCAACAGUGAAUAAAUAAAGUUCCUUCAAUAAGUUAAGGGUAGCUCGAAAGGACUACGAAAGGUAAACAUUUUCUCUUUAAAUUAUACGUUAUAAAAAUUAUAAGCUCCUCCGGUGUCCUCUUCUUUUCCCCGACAGUCCAGUCUGAAACCACGUAGAGACUGGUUUCUACCGACCUAGGUAGGCUGCGAGAAGGUUUAUCUCACGUCUAUACGACUGUCCGCAAUUCUGAACCACCUCGGUCCGGUACUUCGUGAUAAUCGUAAGUUGUGAACCGGGACUACUCGUACUGUCGGAUACGAUGGCGGACUUGUAGAAGAUAAGAAGAAAACCGGGUUUUGCUCUGGUCAUCCCCGUGGAACUCGCUCAUGAGUUCCGUACGUCAGUUCAGUACUACGACCAAGGAAAAGCGAUCUAGAAUGUAUAAAUUAAUACACUAAAACCUUCGGUUUUGACUAAUUCUAGAAGACAAGAAUGAACGUCUACAAUACAAUAAGUCUCAUGAAGUCAAAGGUCAGAGAUAUAUAAUUAGUUUAAUACCCAAUAAAACUUGGAAUAUCCGAAAAUAAUAUACAAAUCAAUACGAAGGUACCCAAAACGUAUACAUAAUUGUUUUCUUGGUAUGAUGAUAAAACAGAUAUGAACUUAGCUUCCUGCAUAUCAAUUAAACGAGAAUGCUUUCCUGACUCAUCUGUCGAUCGGUUUACUGUCCUGUUAGUACUGUUCGUUUCGUUGUGUAUUUAUCAUUAGGGACCCUCAUGAAACCUAAAAUUCACCCUUAGUAUCAAUAAAAGAAGAAUUGAAACCAUACUGUUCGUCAAGUUCACUAUAAGGAUUAACAACGACGACUGUGACUUUUUGAUGAGGACUUCGUGAUCUUCACGGGAGAGAUACCAAGUAGUGAGUGACCUAGGUAUACCCGUUGGAAGGCGAAGUUUUAAUUUUCUCGUGUCAAAAACGGACGAUAGUAACGAAUGCUUCUCAUUAGAUGGUACAGGGAUUAUAUAUAUGCAUUAACAACGUGGUAGUGUUCUAAAGGUACUAUACGUACCCGUAUUGAAAGAAAUGACUCCUUUCCGUCCGACAGUAAAGAUUUCCAACUCUAAAAGACAAAAUUCCUUACAGUUGAUAGAUAAGGAAUAGACCGUACACAUAAACGAAACAGGAGAUGAAGACUAUUCCGUUCUGUCUAGUUUGGUUGUAUCAUUAGGAGAUUAGGAACUAAUAUAAUACUUUUUUGUGACCAAAAAGCACAGUCCUAUCAUGAUACAGUUUGACUACGAAACAUAACGUACAAGGCCACAUAUGGGACUGUUAUAACCUAGGCCGAACGGACGAGGGAGAAGUACAAGAGUAGGCACGAGGGUGAAGUAAGAUGCCGACAGGAAAAAGGAAAAAGGAAAGAUUAGAUUAGUAGAAGGGGGAACUAAAAUUCCCCCACCCCGGCCCACAAUAAAACAAGGUUAGUUUAGUUCGGUGCAUGCACCCUCGUGCCUACUCACGUGCAGACUCCUCGUCCGUUCAGAGCAGGCUGUUAUAAUCCGUAAAGGAAACAAACAAGUAUCGUGUAAUCAAAGAAAUCAAUAUCGGCCAAAAUAAAGGCUAAGUUUGGG